UUAUUUAUCGGGCUUCAAACGGUCAUGUCAAAAAAGCGUAAAAAAAUACGCGCAAUUGUAGGGUUCCCGGGUUUCCUUGCACGGUAUUCUCCCUCUCGCGCUACAUCCAAAACACAUAUAUGCAAUUGCUCGCUCAAUAAGGAUUUUAAACACCAGAAACUCGAGUCGGCCAAACAGUGAUCGGUGAGAGAGAGAGAGACGACCGAUUCUAGGGUUAAUAUUGUUGCAGUGUAGAAAGCCAUAUGAGCGAAUCGUGUAAAACAAGAUACGCCGGGGAGUCCGUUGGUGGCUCGUGAAACCUCCUCGUUUGUCUUCUUUGAUAGUAUCGCUUCUUUUUUCUUGCUAAUUUUGUGUUAUCAUAAGUAGUUGUUUCUUGUGAUUUUGGUUUUCCCGUUUAUUUAUGUUUUGGAUUGGAAUUAAAGCAUGACUCAGUGUUUACUGAUGUGCCGUGAAGAAUCUCGGCUGCAUUUAUCUGAAGAAGAGGUGAUUGCGGCAGAAGAGAGUCUCUCGAUUUAUUGCAAACCUGUGGAACUAUAUAACAUUCUUCAACGAUCGGCUGUCAAAAACGUAUUGUCCACUAUGGACCCCUCAUCUCUAAUGGUUUCGAUCCAAAAGGUACCUCAGCAGUUCUCGAUGAUUUUGUGGAUGUGACCAAAGAUGAGAAGCAAAUGAUGCAUAUGUGGAACUCUUUUGUGAGGAAGCAGCGGGUGCUGGCAGAUGGUCAUAUUCCUUGGGCUUGUGAGGCAUUUUCAAGAUUGCAAGAUGGAUAUGAAACCAAAGCUUGAUUUGUAGAUGUACAGUGUCGACAUAUAAUUGAUAGCCAUUAGCCAUUGAAGAUUCACAUGAAAUUUGGCUUAUGGGCUUGGCAGGUGUUGGCAGAUCGUUUAUGAUCAUACUAUGAAAUCACGGUCUCCUUGAUGCACGCUCUUAUGGACAACUGUUAGAUUAUUCUUGGAUGGUACCAAAAUCAAGAGUUGAAUUCAACUACAGGGUAGAGGAUAAUUUUCCUUCCCUUCUCGUAUAAAUAUGGGCUUGAGUUGAUGAAGUGCAUUGGGUUAGCAGGCAUGAAGGCCUACAACUCUUUUUUCUGUUCUUUGGAAAGUUGCGAUAUGCAUCCAAAAUUUUCAGAUAUGACAAUUGCUUUGGACCAACUCCAAAAUGAAUAUGUUUUCUCUUGGUCCAUCUUUAUAAAAUAGGUUGACCAUAGAUGUUGCAUUCAUGUUUAUAUUCAUUUGGAGAACAGAUUCAAUUUCAAAUUCAUUUCUUUUUAUCUUUUAUUCUUUUGAAGAUGCACAUCCUUCUGUUAUGGAAUGGUUACAAUGGUAUGCUUUUUAAGAGGCUCAAUUAUGUGCAGAGGCCUCAAUUCUGUAAUAUUUACAAAACUCUUUCUCAUGUUUUAGUGAGGAUCUGCAUAAAGUUGCAUUGGAAGAUAAA